UUCUUUGUUAACCUUUUUCUUGCUGUGAGCAUACCGCCUGCUCCUGUGUCCAGCAGCACCUCCCCCUUUUGGUCCUCUUCCCUUCCCCCCCCCCACCUCUUCCCCAUCCCCAGCUCCAUGAACACAUACACUUAUCUGGAUAUUGCUGACAACUCAGUCCAAGUCCCCGGACAACCUCCCCAGCAGAUUCAUGUAGAUGUUAAAAAGCAUUGGGGACAAAACCAAACCCCAUGGGAGCCCACAGGUCAAUGGCCAAGGAGCUGAGCAGUAGUCUCUCAGCACCACCUUCUGGACUCUCCCCCCAAGAAAGGACCAAAGCCACUCCAAAGCAGUGCCUCCAAUCCCUAUACUUGAGAGACAGUCCAGAAAGGAUACCAUGGUUGAUGGUAUCAAACGCUGCUGAGAGGUCCAGCAAAACCAACAGGGACGCGCUCCCCCUGUCUAGCUCCUGGCGUAGCUCAACCAUUAGAGCGACCAAGGCAGUUUCAGUCCCAUAUCCAGGAUGGAAGCCAGAUUAAAAAGAGUCUAGAUAAUCCUCCAGGCUCCCAAUGCAGCAUUCAGUCUGAAUGAAAAGUAGAAUCUAUCUAUAUUAUUAAUUCUCCAAGACAGGCCAUGCGUGGGGACGUGGUAGAAAGGAGGCGAUUGGCUGACAGAGUUUACAAGCAGAAGCACCUGAUUGGGCAGUGGGGAUUCCAUAUGCAGAUAGGGAGGAGGAGCCUGUGGCACUGUGGUGAUUGGGCGGUGGGGAUUACCUAUGCAGAUAAGGAGGAGGAGCCUGUGAUGGUUAAGGACAGUUGGAAUGCAACUGUUACUGGUCGGAAGAUGUUCUUGAUUGUAGAGGAGAGGAAGAUAGAUAGAUAGAUAGCAGGCAGGGGUCUGCAAAAAGCCUUUCGGUGAAACAGCUAUUAUCCCGGGCCGGCUGUCUUGGCUUUUCUCCGGGCAUCACUUGGCUCCUUUGUCCGCUGUUAUCAGCCACCUCAGCGCAUGUUGUCUGUUCCGUUUGAAAGUUUGCAUCAUCAGCUGAACUCCAGGCACUUUCGACAUCUUCCUGAGCCCAUCGGUCCCUUCCUCUGGAUUUGAGUAUUCACCAUUUGUUUUGUAUGUUCUUUUUACAUUUCUACAUUUGAGGACAUUUUGGACUCCAUUUGGACACCUGCACAUAUGGUUUUGUGUAUUUCGUUACUGCAUUUUGCAAUUUCAAAUGGCCUUAUGUUUAUCCAUGUUCACUUGUAUGUUACCAAUGUGGCUGUUUGCUAUAAUGUGUGUUUAUAGCUGGUUUUUCAUUUUGUUAUAAUAUACAUAUAUAUUAUUCUUUA